UAUGAUAAACCGAUGGUUCACUGGCGGCCUCUACUGGAGAGCGGUGCGGAGUUAGAACUUAGAGAACAGUGUCAAUGAACAACAAUGCAGUCGAAUCCAGGAGUACGUCCAUGGUAAAUGGUUAGCAUUACUGUACCUCGGUAUAGUUUAAAAA